rnacentral:rRNA from 1 species
UACGUAGGUGGCAAGCGUUGUCCGGAUUUACUGGGCGUAAAGAGCGCGCAGGCGGUUGUUUAAGUCGAAUGUGAAAGCCCCCGGCUCAACUGGGGAGGGUCAUUCGAUACUGAUCGACUUGAAGGCAGGAGAGGGAAGUGGAAUUCCGGGUGUAGUGGUGAAAUGCGUAGAUAUCCGGAGGAACACCAGUGGCGAAGGCGGCGUCCUGGACCAACACUGACACUGAUGAGCGAAAGCCAGGGGAGCAAACGGG